rnacentral:rRNA from 1 species
CCUACGGGUGGCUGCAGUGGGGAAUAUUGGACAAUGGGCGAAAGCCUGAUCCAGCCAUGCCGCGUGUGUGAAGAAGGCCUUCGGGUUGUAAAGCACUUUCAGUGGGGAAGAAAGCCUUGGGGCUAAUACCCUCGAGGAAGGACAUCACCCACAGAAGAAGCACCGGCUAACUCCGUGCCAGCAGCCGCGGUAAUACGGAGGGGGCGAGCGUUAAUCGGAAUUACUGGGCGUAAAGCGCGCGUAGGCGGUCUGAUAAGCCGGUUGUGAAAGCCCCGGGCUCAACCUGGGAACGGCAUCCGGAACUGUCAGGCUAGAGUGCAGGAGAGGAAGGUAGAAUUCCCGGUGUAGCGGUGAAAUGCGUAGAGAUCGGGAGGAAUACCAGUGGCGAAGGCGGCCUUCUGGACUGACACUGACGCUGAGGUGCGAAAGCGUGGGUAGCAAACAGGAUUUAGAUACCCUGGUAGUC